rnacentral:rRNA from 1 species
CCUACGGGUGGCAUCAGUGAGGAAUAUUGGUCAAUGGGCGCGAGCCUGAACCAGCCAAGUAGCGUGAAGGAUGACUGCCCUACGGGUUGUAAACUUCUUUUAUAGAGGAAUAAAGUGCGGCACGUGUGCCUUUUUGUCUGUACUUUAUGAAUAAGGAUCGGCUAACUCCGUGCCAGCAGCCGCGGUAAUACGGAGGAUCCGAGCGUUGUCCGGAUUUAUUGGGUUUAAAGGGAGCGUAGAUGGGUUGUUAAGUCAGUUGUGAAAGUUUGCGGCUCAACCGUAAAAGUGCAAUUGAUACUGGAAGACUGGAGUGCAGUUGAGGUAGGCGGAAUUCGUGGUGUAGCGGUGAAAUGCUCAGAUAUCACGAAGAACUCCGAUUGCGAAGGCAGCCUACUAAACUGCAACUGACAUUGAUGCUCGAAAGUGUGGGUAUCAAACAGGAUUAGAUACCCGGGUAGUC